AGUUAGUUUCUGUAUUAGAGUCUAGGGUGUCCUGUUCGAAGAUCGAACAGGAAACCCUAGACUCUAAUACAGAAACUAACU
rnacentral:pre_miRNA from 1 species